rnacentral:sRNA from 1 species
AGGUCGGGUCGACCUGAAAACAUGAACGUGAUCGAUUCCAAGAAGUUGAGACCCGGGAUGCGGGCGGAAAACCGCACACACUU